rnacentral:rRNA from 1 species
UACGUAGGGUGCGAGCGUUGUCCGGAAUUAUUGGGCGUAAAGAGCUUGUAGGCGGUUUGUCGCGUCUGCUGUGAAAAUCCGGGGCUCAACCCCGGACUUGCAGUGGGUACGGGCAGACUAGAGUGUGGUAGGGGAGACUGGAAUUCCUGGUGUAGCGGUGAAAUGCGUAGAUAUCACUUGGAACGCCAAUGGUGAAGACAGCUCGCUGGGGGUGUCCUGACGCUGAGGCGGCGAAAGCCAGGGGAGCGAACGGG